GACGAACGCUGGCGGCGUGCUUAACACAUGCAAGUCGAGCGGAAAGGCCACUUCGGUGGUACUCGAGCGGCGAACGGGUGAGUAACACGUGAGUAAUCUGCCCCUCACUUUGGGAUAGCCACCGGAAACGGUGAUUAAUACCGGAUAUGACCAUAUGUCGCAUGGCGUGUGGUGGAAAGUUCUUCGGUGAGGGAUGUGCUCGCGGCCUAUCAGCUUGAUGGUGUGGUAAUGUCUCACCAUGGCUUCGACGGGUAGCCGGCCUGAGAGGGUUACCGUUCACAACGGGACUGAGACACGGCUCAGACUCCUACGGGGGGCAGCAGUGGGGAAUAUUGGACAAUGGGCGGAAGCCUGAUCCAGCAACGCCGCGUGAGGGAUGACGGCCUUCGGGUUGUAAACCUCUUUCAGUACCGACGAAGCGCAAGUGACGGUAGGUACAGAAGAAGCACCGGCCAACUACGUG
rnacentral:rRNA from 1 species